rnacentral:SRP_RNA from 1 species
CCGUGCUAGACGGGGAAUUAGCGGUGCCCUGUAACCUGCAAUCCGCUAUAGCAGGGUUGAAUUCCUGAGCAGAGGGGUUGCCUUGUAAGGACUGGCUUGAAUAAGUGGCAAAGAAGUUUGGGUCCUUCGCAAUGGGACAUCUUGAACCGUGUCAGGUCCGGAAGGAAGCAGCACUAAGAGAUUAAUCCCAUGUGACGAAGGAGAGCCUGAAUGGAGCUAACUGUUCAGGUAACGCUUGGAAGGUGAUGCUCGAAGCCAGGUGCACGG